rnacentral:rRNA from 1 species
AUUGAACGCUGGCGGCAGGCCUAACACAUGCAAGUCGAGCGGAUGAAGGGAGCUUGCUCCUGGAUUCAGCGGCGGACGGGUGAGUAAUGCCUAGGAAUCUGCCUGGUAGUGGGGGAUAACGUCCGGAAACGGGCGCUAAUACCGCAUACGUCCUGAGGGAGAAAGUGGGGGAUCUUCGGACCUCACGCUAUCAGAUGAGCCUAGGUCGGAUUAGCUAGUUGGUGGGGUAAAGGCCUACCAAGGCGACGAUCCGUAGCUGGUCUGAGAGGAUGAUCAGUCACACUGGAACUGAGACACGGUCCAGACUCCUACGGGAGGCAGCAGUGGGGAAUAUUGGACAAAGGGCGAAAGCCUGAUCCAGCCAUGCCGCGUGUGUGAAGAAGGUCUUCGGAUUGUAAAGCACUUUAAGUUGGGAGGAAGGGCAGUAAGUUAAUACCUUGCUGUUUUGACGUUACCAACAGAAUAAGCACCGGCUAACUUCGUG